UUAAAGUAAACUCAACUUAUCCGGGCUGACAGUGUACAGCCUCCCUCACUAAGAAAAGUAGUAAGUCCGAUAGCGGACACCUAGCUAAGAGAAAAUGUUUGUGGAACAGGUUGAUGAAACUGGUGGACAAUAAAACAAAACAUUCCUGUCACCGUUAAAACAAACAAUUGUCGACAGCCGCUUAGAACUUUUUGAGUUGUACCUUGAAUGAAACGCACCGAAACUCCGAUAGCAGCGACUGUUUACCGAAAGCGCUGAGACUGGCAUGUGCAUACAGUCAUGUUCAAAAGAAAAAGAGGUGUGGUUCAAACUAAAACGUAUUAAUUUAAAUCCAUUUAACUUAAAUUUAUUCACAUAUUCGACUAUAUCUACAAAUGAGUUGACUAUACUGAAUAUCAUCAAACUUAUAUUUUUAAGUGCUUUCUAAUUAAUUUAUUUUAAGUAUAUUUGACAUUCGGGCUUAAAGUGAAGACCAUAUUUUGGAGUUGUCAUUAUUCGUAGGUUAUUAUGCUGUUUGACUUUAGAUCACAUUGGUCUGUAUGUGGAACCUGAACUGAAACCUGCCCUAAAGUGAAGUUUUAUUCACUAAAAUUACUUUUAAAUGAUGUAUGUGAAAUGAGCUGCGGUAAUCGCGUUAGCGGAAAUAAAGAGAUUCUGUUUUCAUUUCGGUAGAAUUCUUAACUGAAACGUUCGGAUGACAUGACAACUGAGGAAGACCGUUUCAGUCGCUUUGGCUUCUACAGGAAACGAAAACGCAGACUCAAACACAACAUUUACACAAGUCUGCGGUCUGUGGCAGUGUCUUGCAUGAGGCCUGUGGGUUUAACUUGAAAAUAUUUUAACGUUUCUAAAUUGGAAAGAAAAGCACUCCGGACAGUCAUACAUUUAGUUCCUAAAAUGAUAAUACGGAGCCUAAGAAAAUCCAGUGAAAGGCAGAGGAUGGGUAGGUUUAUAAAUCAGAAAAUGAACCUAAAAUGUUUCUGCACCACAACUGAAACAGAAAAGAUCAGCUGCAUGUGCUGGUGAAAUGUCAGCUGCUAUUAUCAUGUGUCGUAGAGGAGUCCUGCUGUUACUGUCAAAGAUUUAAUAGAACAUGGGACACGUUGGGAAUGCUGCACUUUGUGUUUGGGCCAACAGUUGUUUUUGUUUUGUUUUGUUUGUUUGUUUCUUGUUGCCACGUAGGGCUGGGCGGUAAAUUUAUCCCAAUCCCGUUUAAAGAUGACUUCAGCCAGGUGUUGAACAGGACGCCCAGGUACAUUUUCCACUGGUGAAUAGUGUUUUUUUUUAUUUUACCAGUGUGCUGCUUCUGUUAUUUUUAAGUAUAAAACACACUAAGAUGGGGACGUCACAGUGCAUUCAGGUGCACCUUGAAAUGAAGAUCUAUCCUGCGGUAGUCAUGAAGGUUUUCGUAUUUCCCUGGAUCGUGAUUCUCAGAUGUUCCAGGGAUUUCUCUUGGUUUUCAGAGGGUUCCUUUCCUUUUUUUUUCUGUAGAAUUAAAAAUUUUUGUGAAAGAUUUAGGCACAUUUUUGGAGGUCCUACCACAAGAGAGUAGUGUGUUUUCCAUGUGAAAGAUUUCAUUUAAUAGAAUCGUUAAUUAUUAUCAUCAUAUCUGUUAGGGAUGCACCGAUCCAACUUUUUCAGUUCUGAUGCCAGGGCCUAGCAUAUCAGUCGAUAUCCAAUACCGAUCCAAUAUCAUUGUUGGUUUAGAGCAGAGGUUCUACAGACAUUCUACCGCGGGUGCGUUGGCGACUACUGUUGUAUACUGUCUUCACCCCCCCCCCAUUGGCAGGUAGUCAGUGGUAAGGUGAGGGGAGCUCACUUUGACUUCCUCCACAUACAGUUCCAUCGCGUUCCUUUUAGAAUCAUGUUCGGCAUGCAUGAUGUCACCUGUGUUGCCAGACUUUAAAGGGGAAGGGUCAGUCUUAUGGAUCGGUUGCUUUUACAGAUCCCCGAUCCAGCUAAAAUGUUGAUAUCGGCGCCAAUAUCCAAUCCUAAUAUCGGAUCGGUGCAACCUUAAUAUCUGUGUUAAACAUUUGCUGCUACAACGACUAGUCAACGGCAAAAUUAGUUGAUGACUAAUUUAGUAGUCGACGGGUCCUUAGUGACAUCAUCACGUGUUUCCACAGCGUACAAUUCUAAGCUAAACAACAUUUCACUGUAGCCAAUUGAAGUCAGAGUGAGACAUUGUGUCACUUUUCCCAAACCUUUGUUGCACAUGUGCACUAGUGACCAGCGGAGCAGUAGUCGAUGACUCGUAGACUGCUGAAAGGGUCAUUAAUGUUAAAUGAUUAGUUUAUGAAACUGUCUUUUCAUAACCUACUGGGUUUCCUCAAGUACAAGCUGGGUUUGCUGUUUCCACAACUUUAAUUUAAUACAUUCAAUAAUAUAAUGCUGCUAUUUUUGACACGUUGUAGUUCUGUAAUUCUUAUCUGAAAUGACAGUUUCUAAUUUCAGCCGCUGCAGGUGUGUGUCUUUUAUAAGAACCACAGAAGGUCAGGGCUCCAGUCCUAUUGGGAGGAGGUCAGUGUUACCUGUGAACAUCUGCUUUUUUGAAAAUUAGAAACAUGGAUAAACCAAAUGAGAUUAAGGUCAGACCACCUCAGCAGUGAUUACAAAGUAAAACAUCCAUCACAAAUGACCCUGCCUUUAGUCCAGAGCAAAACAGCGUUUUUAAUUUUCUGUAAUUUGCCAAAUGUUUUUGUUUCCUCCAUGCAUUUAUUCAGCCUGUUUCCUGUUUGAGGAUGAUGGAGACUACUCUGUUGAUGAUACACCAAAGGGUUAAACUUGUUUUUAUGUGGAAAUUCACGAGGAUCAUAUCGUAAUAUAGCAUAAAUGUUCAGGCAAAGAACAAUAUUAAAUCUUUCAGAGGAACAUCAGAAAAGAUGGAGGGACGACAAGUGUGGCAACUACAGAUGACUACUAAUACAAACCUAGACCUCCUGAUGAAGGCCAGACUAAUACAGACCUAGACCUCCUGAUGAAGGCCAGACUAAUACAGACCUAGACCUCCUGAUGAAGGCCAGACUAAUACAGACCUAGACCUCCUGGUGAAGGCCAGACUAAUACAAACCUAGACCUCCUGGUGAAGGCCAGACUAAUACAGACCUAGACCUCCUGGUGAAGGCCAGACUAAUACAGACCUAGACCUCCUGAUGAAGGCCAGACUAAUACAAACCUAGACCUCCUAAUGAAGGCCAGACACUAAAACAAACCUAGACCUCCUAAUGAAGGCCAGACACUAAAACAAACCUAGACCUCCUAAUGAAGGCCAGACUAAUACAAACCUAGACCUCCUAAUGAAGGCCAGACUAAUACAAACCUAGACCUCCUAAUGAAGGCCAGACUAAUACAAACCUAGACCUCCUAAUGAAGGCCAGACUAAUACAAGCCUAGACCUCCUGAUGAAGGCCAGACUCUAAUACAAACCUAGACCUCCUAAUGAAGGCCAGACUAAUACAAGCCUAGACCUCCUAAUGAAGGCCAGACUAAUACAAGCCUAGACCUCCUAAUGAAGGCCAGACUAAUACAAACCUAGACCUCCUGAUGAAGGCCAGACUAAUACAAGCCUAGACCUCCUAAUGAAGGCCAGACUAAUACAAGCCUAGACCUCCUGAUGAAGGCCAGACUAAUACAAGCCUAGACCUCCUAAUGAAGGCCAGACCAAUACAAGCCUAGACCUCCUGAUGAAGGCCAGACUAAUACAAACCUAGACCUCCUAAUGAAGGCCAGACUAAUACAAACCUAGACCUCCUAAUGAAGGCCAGACUAAUACAAACCUAGACCUCCUAAUGAAGGCCAGACUAAUACAAACCUAGACCUCCUAAUGAAGGCCAGACUAAUACAAGCCUAGACCUCCUGAUGAAGGCCAGACUCUAAUACAAACCUAGACCUCCUAAUGAAGGCCAGACUAAUACAGACCUAGACCUCCUAAUGAAGGCCAGACUAAUACAAGCCUAGACCUCCUAAUGAAGGCCAGACUAAUACAAGCCUAGACCUCCUGAUGAAGGCCAGACUAAUACAAACCUAGACCUCCUGAUGAAGGCCAGACUCUAAUACAAACCUAGACCUCCUAAUGAAGGCCAGACUAAUACAAACCUUAGACCUCCUAAUGAAGGCCAGACUAAUACAAACCUAGACCUCCUAAUGAAGGCCAGACUAAUACAAACCUAGACCUCCUAAUGAAGGCCAGACUAAUACAAACCUAGACCUCCUGAUGAAGGCCAGACUAAUACAAACCUAGACCUCCUAAUGAAGGCCAGACUAAUACAAACCUAGACCUCCUAAUGAAGGCCAGACUCUAAUACAAACCUAGACCUCCUAAUGAAGGCCAGACUAAUACAGACCUAGACCUCCUAAUGAAGGCCAGACUAACACAAACCUAGACCUCCUGAUGAAGGCCAGACUAAUACAAACCUAGACCUCCUGAUGAAGGCCUGGUACCUCCUGGACGUUACAGACUUAAAGGCCUAGGCAUUAUUUGAGGACAUGGAGUCGAAGAUGCUGUAUUGUUAAGGAUGCUCAUUGUUAAUUAGACUUUUGCGUCACCUGAAAACGCCGUCAUGACUGUAAAUGUGAGCCUCUGUUAAUAAAUCAACCAUGGUUUUUUCGGCGUCAGUCCUUAUCGUGGUUCUCCUCGAUCCGGCGUCAUCAGAUUAUCCGCCUGGCCCUGCUGCCAUGUUUGUUUCACAGCUGCCUGUGUCAAUGAUUUUUAGGUUUUUUAUUCACGAACACUAAAUAUUAUGUAUUGAGCAGUACUGUUAGGUUUCUGUGUCUAAUUGUCGAGCCUCAAAAUGUGAAUCCGUGGAGUUUCGUCUGAUUCACAUUUAACCGAAUCAAACCUGCUUUAACUGAACUGUAGGAAAAGGACAGGAAGUUGGUUUGUUAACUCUAAAAACUACAAACAUGGAUGAUAAAGUGAAGAAGGGAAAAAAAAA